rnacentral:misc_RNA from 1 species
UCUCCGUUGGUGAACCAGCGGAGGGAUCAUUACAGAGUUGCAAAACUCCCAAACCAUUGUGAACGUUACCUAUCCCGUUGCUUCGGCGGGCGGCCCGGGCCCCGCGCCCGGCGCCCCCCGGCCCCCCGUGGGCGCCCGCCGGAGGUAGACCAAGCCCUUGAAUUGCAUGGCCUCUCUGAGUCUUCUGUACUGAAUAAGUCAAAACUUUCAACAACGGAUCUCUUGGUUCUG